UACGUAGGUGGCAAGCGUUAUCCGGAAUUAUUGGGCGUAAAGCGCGCGCAGGUGGUUUCUUAAGUCUGAUGUGAAAGCCCACGGCUCAACCGUGGAGGGCCAUUGGAAACUGGGAGACUUGAGUGCAGAAGAGGAAAGUGGAAUUCCAUGUGUAGCGGUGAAAUGCGUAGAGAUAUGGAGGAACACCAGUGGCGAAGGCGACUUUCUGGUCUGUAACUGACACUGAGGCGCGAAAGCGUGGGGAGCAAACAGG
rnacentral:rRNA from 1 species